AUACAACUUUCAACAACGGAUCUCUUGGCUCUCGCAUCGAUGAAGAACGCAGCGAAAUGCGAUAAGUAAUGUGAAUUGCAGAAUUCAGUGAAUCAUCGAAUCUUUGAACGCACCUUGCGCCCCUUGGUAUUCCGAGGGGCAUGCCUGUUUGAGUGUCAUUAAAUUCUCAAAC
rnacentral:rRNA from 1 species